AUCGCCAGAGACGGCCACGGCUACUGUUGGGCUAAAUUUGCUCUUUGAGGCCCAUUGUGUUACCCAGUCGAGAUUAUACUGGGUCUAAUUUUACGAUUGCGUCUUGCUUUUUUCCUGCUGAGCUCAUGUUAUCUUAAGCAUUUUCUCACGUCAUAAAAAAUUCUUCGUACAAUUAUGUGAGAGGGAAAUGCAUAUUCUUGGCAACUGAUAGAAGAAUUCCUUUUGGGGAAACAUUGGCCAUUAUUGAGAAAAAAGCUCUGGGGGGGAGCAGGGGGCAUACUUUGUCAAUUGGUGCAGGGAGUUGAGGGAGGGAGUGCGUGAGGGCGAGAGGGAGCCGGGCUGCAUAGUCCGAGCCCCCUUGACGGGUCUUCUCAACGAGGGGACAUCACCCAAAUCACAUCAUGCCUGUGGGGAGUGGAAGCUGAAUGGGGCGGCCCUGGACAGGAAAGAAGCGCUCGGAAGGAAGGAAGCUCUUGGCAGUCUGCACAAUUAGUGGGAAAGAAUCGCGCUGUCACAAAGGGUGGAGAGGAGAAUCGAGGUGUGUUAAUCAGCUAUCUGAGAGACAAGGGGAGGGCCUCCUAGGGCCCGGAGCUGAUAUCGGGUUCACGUUCACAAACAGUCUUUUGAUGGUGGCCCGGUGUUCCGUUACAGGACACCAUCAUUUAAAUGACACUUUGAAUAACGUCGUGUUUGGAUUAAUUCCUCGGACACUGAAAGCACUACAGCUCGAAUGGUGCGAGCAUUUUAAAGGAAUCUGUUACAUCGCCACCUGGUUGCUUUCAAGAAUGUCUGCAAACAGGCAGCCGUGCGAGAGGCCCGUCUCUGUGCUCUCGCCAGAACUUACCUGCUAUUUAGGAAUUAUUCCACACGCCACUGCCUCCCGGAACCUUUUUUUUCUGCCCACGUAGAAAUCGUGUGUCUUAUGCACCUUGUAAUGGCUCACUUCCACCCCCUAAACGCAGUGACUGUAGUUAAUUUUAUAUGAUUGUUAUUAGCAGACAUGCCUCCCCUUGAACUAUACCGUAAGCAGUCUGAAGGUCCCCUCUGCCUUUCUUGCACUUGCUGUGCUGUGCCAUCAACAUUGCCGGGGAGCAGAGAAGCCCACAUUUCUUGAAAACAGUGGGCAGCUUUACGUCUCCUGACCCAGAUUCCUAAGAGGAUCAGGUUCUAGGGGGAGCUGCGAUUUAGUUUGGUGACUGCACCACUGAGAUGCUCCCUGGGGAAUUCUGGAGAGGACAGGGAAGGCUGCAAAUGGGUGAACAGUGCGCUGCUGUUCAGAAACAGGCAGGAGGCAGAGGAGGUGGGAGAGAGUCCAGCAUGGAGCGUAAACAGGAUGAUUUGCGAAGGGGAGGCUGUGAUCGCCAGGAGUCAGCAGGGGCUCGGUGAGAAAACUCGGGCUGACCUAGUUUCUCUGGCUGCCAGUGUUACGGUUGUGGCACACCAGAGAAAUGCAAAGAGGAGGGAGUCUCCAGGACCUGGUUCAAGUGCUGGCAGUGGUUCUUCCGACCCUCCCGAGACAAAGUGUAAAAAGGUGGGUCGGGUGACAAGCAGGACGAGGUGGUGAAUCCACAGCUGCCUGAAUAAAUCCGCCCACCGGCUUGCAGAGCUGCAGAUCGAUGGCUAGAUGUCAAUGCGCAGAGGGGUUGUCUUUUAAGAGGUGUUCCUCAGCACUCUCUUCUUGUGCCUGAAUGGGCCCGGAGUCUUGUCAGUGGCUUGAAGCCGGUGUGGAAGGAAGAGGAGAGCCAACCCCCUGUGAUUAUUGAGGGGAUGAAAUAAGGCGUGAGAAUCCUGUGGAAUAAUACCCGGCCUGUCUGAGCUGGUCAGUACUGGAGUAGUAGCAGGACUAAGGGGGAGAAGCUGUGAAGACAUAAAGUAAUUCAACUCUAUUUUUUUUCAAGAAAACUCUGUGAUGGAAUUGUCCAAACGUGGGGUAAGCUGCUUCUGGAUGUGGUGAAACCCACUUUCCUGGAGAAUUCCGAUCAUGAAUGGUGGCUGUCUGUAGACUUUGGGUAUCGAUGACCCUGUCAACUUUAAGAUUCUAUGUUCUGUCGUGCUGGGGCCAAGUCUUUGAGGAAGGAGCCGCUCUAUGUGUUCGGAAGAAAAAAGAACACUUAAGCUGUGGAGGGCUGAUCAUACUGGCCUAGCACCUGGGAGGAAACAAAGGUACUGUGAGGCCAGUUGGCUGGAGAGUUUCACAUUGAACUAAGGCUCACACUGGGGAGUCUCCUGGUUGCUCUCGAGGGCAGUGUCAUAGAUUAUUCAUGACAGUCCCCAGCACACAGUAGACACUCAACAAAUGCUAAUGGAGGCAGUCUAGAGGUGGCAAUAACCACAGUCAGCACUAACUUAAGUCCGUUUCAAACAUUUGCUAAUUGUAUUUGCUUUAAAAAAAAAAAAUGUAAUGUUUACUUUUGAGGGGAGGAGGGGCAGAAAGAGAAGGAGACAGAGGAUGCAAAGUGGGCUCUGCGCUGACAACAGAGAGCCUGACGCGAGGUUCAAACUCACGGACGGUGAGAUCAUGACCUGAGCCGAAGUCGGACGCUUAACCGACUGAGCCCCCCGGGCGCCCCUAAAUGUAAUUGCUUUAGCCAGAAAAUGUUCUCUCCACAGAAGAAGGCUAAAGGAAACGAAGGGAGCUGGGAGUGGGCGAUAGAGGUUGGAAUGGGGUUGGAGGGGAGGGUCAGGAGACCGAAUGUGCCGUCUUGUAGGAGGAGGGAGCAUGAAGGAAAGUGAACCCACUGCGAGAUGGGGAAGGCUUCCUUGCCCCAGCGUGGCCGCAGAGUGGGCCCGUAGGCAGCAGUUUCUGCUGGCUGGCCGCUCUAAUCUCUCCUUCCAUAGUAAUAACAAUGUGGGGAGACCAGAUUUCCCACCCUUUCUUGCAGCGAGAUGUGGUCGGAACCCUCUGAACGCGAGAGGAAGGGAUAGGCACGGUGCCUGAGUCUAAGCUUCUCCCGGGGUCUCUUUGCCUCCCACUGGCUAGAAGCAGACGGCCACAAGACCCCAGGGGAGAUGUGAGGCUCGAGACCCUGACUGAGCAUGCGCAAGAGACCCCUGCCCCAUUGGCUUGAAUACCUACUUCGAACUGGUACCCGAGCAAGACAUACACUUGUUGGGUUGAGUCAUUAUUUGGGGGGACCCGGUACAGAAGCUAAGACCAUCCUAAGUAACGCUUAGAAUUCCAAGAAGUAACCCCCCCCCCACACACACACACCCCGUGUAACUCACAAUGGGGAGGUCGUGGCCCCGGAAGUGAGUCAUCAGCCUCUGAUUGAGAUGACAGAGCUCCUCACCUGCCUCAGCGCCCCUGGCUGGGGGCUCUGCUUGUCACAGGGGGAAGUCCUCCUCCCUGUCAACAGCAUCUUCUGCCCCUCUAGGUCCGAGUCAACUUAUGGGAAGCGGGCCCUGGGCCACCAUGAUGAUUGAGGCAGUGCAGAAAAUGCCUAUCGUGGGAAUCUGCUACACCUCCUAGAGACACAGAGAAACCGGGGUCCCGGCCACUUCGUGGGGAACGCAUGGGGUACAUCAGCUGCGAAAGUGGGGCUCCCGUGCCCCGAGUGAUAGCUGCAGUGUGUCCCAAGCCGAUGGGCAACGAUACGUUCCGGGAAUUUGCUCAGACUUGCCAGAAUAUAGACUACGCUAGAGAGCAAGUGUUUGUGCGUUGUGUGUAGGAGGUUUGGGAUGGGACAGGGCUGGGAAAUUGGACGAGAAUAGGUCGUCAGAGAUGCAGAAACCAGAAAACGAAAACAAGUGAAGACGCUUUUUGAAGUGCAAAAUGAAGUUUUGAAGCCCAUGGCAGUAUCUUCCAGUAUAAGGUUUUUACUUGCACGAGGCAGGGUCAUUUAAACUGGAAGGGCCAAGGUCCCAACCUAAGCGAUUAACUUAAGAGAACACGUGUGUAUUUUGCUGGCCCAGACUACUUAAGACCCCCAAGCUUUGGGGAGUGGGAGAAAAGAAGUUGGAGAGAAGGAAUGGCAGGGUCUUUAAGAAGGGGGCCCUGCCACAAAGGAGUGGGUGUGACACACGCCUCCCCGUGUCGCGGGGGGGCUUGGGAGCCGAGACCAGAAAGGACCCUGCUGCUGUCUGUCUGGAGCCCUUAUGUAUGUCCCCUGCGCCAUCACGGCAGGGACAGGGGAACAGGUGUUAUGAUGUGGGGCAGGGGCAGAACCAGAGUGGCCCGGGAAAGCAGGGGAGCUUGGUGUUUGUGGGACUGAAGUUGAAACAGCCGAGAAAGGGAGCCGGUGAUCCCGAAGGCAUCGUGGUGGCAAUGAGGAGAUGCCCUGGCAGAGAGCACCUCGCUCAUGUGGCUGCAAACCAGGUGGGAAGGAGGAACCUGGACAGGGGGGCCUACCUUAGCUGCACGGGCUGCUUCAUGCUCACUGUGGACCUGCGGAAAGAGUCGUGCCAAGCCUGUGCGUGAGGCUGCUUUGCGUCAGAAAGCAGACACACAGUAGAAUUUCCUUAAAGACGAGCGAAAGUUACCCCCAAGGGGCCGGGUGCUUGGGCUUUAAUUCAUUUCUUGCAGCCCCUCUGGGCUCUCGCUUUUGAAUUCCUGUGCCUUGCGUCCUCCAUUAACACCUGUGGGCCUCCUCUUGGAGUCUGGCUGUGGUUUCCACCCUCGCGAGGAUCAGACGAUCCCCACUGCUGAGUCUGGCCGCUCCCUGAUGUGCAUUCACCCGUGCCCCACACCCUGGCAUCCCGUCCACACGGGCCCCUGUUGUCUGGCCUCAUUCUGCCUGGUUUUGGCUUCCUCGUGCCCACCUUGGUGCUGACAGCUUGAGGGCCUCCCACCCCACUCUGCAAUCUGAGACAGAAUAUUUUCUAAGAGGGGCUCUGGCCAAACAGUGACCCAGGAGAAAAGGGAACUGUGGGGAGGAGCUGAGUCGCGGUGACGGGGUAACAGGUUUCUCGGGCCACCCUGGCUUAUGCGCAGGAAUUGGAGAACAACAGUGGCCACGGUGUUUCUCUUAGUCUAUCCCAUCCACCGCAUGGGAACUCGGGCAGCCCUCUUAACCUCCCGGAUGAUGCCAAGAGACGCCAGCGGUCUCACGUCUCGUGCGCCAACAUCUACUCUUCUUGGACCAUGCCAUUUUCUUUCCUGUUUGUUCCGGCUGCCAGUGGUACCGUCCCCUCAUUGCUGGCGACCCCAGGAGCGCCAUCCGUGACCUUGAAAUCUACCAAGGGCCUACACUUGCUGGAGCGACCCAUACCCAGUUUGGACCCGUCGAAGAGAGUCCAGCCACCAUACUGUCUUUGCCGAGGGCACUGGUGACCGGGCUGAAGGGUAAUAGUGAGGUGCAUGCUGGCACCCUUGCUGGCAGUGGUGCUUAUUGUGGGUUGAAUGGUGGCUCCAAAGAUGUGCGGAGGUCCUAACCCCGGUACCUGUGAAUGUGACCUUAUGUGGAAAUAGGAUCUUUGCAAUUGUGACUGAGAUAUAACAUGACGGGGUGAUGCUGGAGAGGGGUCCUUACUCCAGUGUGACUGGUGUCCUUAUAAGAAGAGAGGAGACACAGACACUUGGGGGAGAACAUCACGUGAAAAUGGAGGUGGUUUCAGGGCACGUGGGUGGCUCGGUCGGUUAAGCGUCCGACUUCGGCUCAGG